GUGGGGAAUCUUGCGCAAUGGGCGAAAGCCUGACGCAGCCAUGCCGCGUGAAUGAUGAAGGUCUUAGGAUUGUAAAAUUCUUUCACCGGGGACGAUAAUGACGGUACCCGGAGAAGAAGCUCCGGCUAACUUCGUGCCAGCAGCCGCGGUAAUACGAAGGGGGCUAGCGUUGCUCGGAAUUACUGGGCGUAAAGGGCGCGUAGGCGGACAGCUUAGUCAGAGGUGAAAGCCCAGGGCUCAACCUUGGAAUUGCCUUUGAUACUGGCUGUCUUGAGUUUGGGAGAGGUGAGUGGAACUCCGAGUGUAGAGGUGAAAUUCGUAGAUAUUCGGAAGAACACCAGUGGCGAAGGCGACUCACUGGCCCAAUACUGACGCUGAGGCGCGAAAGCGUGGGGAGCAAACAGGAUUAGAAACCCGAUCC
rnacentral:rRNA from 1 species